rnacentral:rRNA from 1 species
AUGGCUAGUAAUUGGAGUUUCAGACAAUUUGGGGAGGUAAUUUGUAGCCAAUAUCCUUGGGGUUUGCUUGAUGAAGUGGUAUACAAAUACUAUGAUGGAAAAAAGAAAUGGGUGACAGUUAGUAAUGAUGAAGAGCUAACUACCAUGUUUGUUAGGCAUAAAGAGAAAGAUAAUUUUCAUGUGAUGCUGCAAGUUGAUGUGCUUGAGCAGGCAUUUGGACCUAGGAUGACGGGUGCAACAUCUCGGGGAGAACCAAGUCGUCGUAAUGGCAUAUCUAGCCAGAACAGUUCAGUUGGUGCACGGCGACAUGGUGGAUCGACAAGUGUGGGCAACAACAGUAGGGUCCCCCUUGAAGUGGAGUCUGAUGACUACAAUUCUGGGGUUGAUGAAGAGAAGCUAUAUUCUGAUGUUAUUCGGAAUUUACAAUGGGCACCUCGGGCUGAAAACAAAGAUGAGGCUCACAAUGCAGUCCGUGUGGAUGAUGACGCGGUGGGUGAGGACGAAGACCUUGCAGCUGUUGAAUGGGACCCUUUGAACCCUCAUAUGGAAGAAGGUACAGUUUUUGCAUCCAUGAAUGAGUGUAGAAAGGCACUUGUGACAUACUGCAUCAAGGUAGAAUGUACUUUCAAAGUUGACAAGAGCGAUCAAGUACGUUACAGAGUGCACUGUCCGACUGAGGGUUGUCCAUGGAGGCUGCUCGCAUCUAAAAUGCGAAAUAGCACUAAUGUUCAGGUCAAAGUGAACCCUUUUAAGCACACAUGCCAGAAAUCAACCCUUAGGAAGGAUACAAUCAGUAGAGCCAAGUCAAGAUGGGUGGCAGAAGAAGUAAAGAAGUGGGUGAAAGAAAACCAGCAAGUGGGUCCAAAGGAAUUGCAGAAGAACAUGAAAGAUAAGUUCAAGAUUGAUUUACCAUACAUGAGGUUGUUCAAUGGUAAACAACAUGCUAUGGAUUCUAUUUAUGGGAGGUUUAAAGAACAGUUAGUAGCAGCUUGUGCAGUU